AACGAACGCUGGCGGCAGGCUUAACACAUGCAAGUCGAACGCAUGCCUUUGGGCAUGGUUGGCAGCCGGGUGGGUAACGCGUGGGAACCUACCCCGUGGUACGGACUAGCUCCGGGAAACUGGACUUAAUACCGUAUGUGUCCUGAGGGACAAAGAUUCAUCGCCAAGGGAUGGGCUCGCGUCGGAUUAGCUAGUUGGUGGGGUAACAGCCUACCAAGGCGACGAUCCGUAGCUGGUCUAAGAGGAUGAUCAGCCACAUUGGGACUGAGACACGGCCCAAACCCACACGGGAGGCAGCAGUGGGGAAUAUUGGAAAAUGGGCGCGAGUCUGAGCGAGCCAUGCCGCGUGAGUGAUGAAGGCACUAGGGUUGUAAAGCUCUUUCACCGGUGACGAUAAUGACGGUAACCGGAGAAGAAGCCCCGGCUAACUUCGUG
rnacentral:rRNA from 1 species